CGGGAUGUGGCGCAGUUGGUAGCGCGCAUGGUUUGGGACCAUGGGGUCGCAGGUUCGAGUCCUGUCAUCCCGA
rnacentral:tRNA from 1 species